rnacentral:sRNA from 1 species
UUCUAGCCCCGAUAGUAGCGGCAUCCUUUUUGGGGUAGUUGUUUUGUGAAUAACAAAAACAACUACCCCAAAAAGAUAUAGCGGAUAGCGGGAAACAGC